GGUAAAUAAAAUUCUCAUUGAAGAAUAUCCCAAAAUGGAGGCGGUGGAAGGGUGGUUGUUCUACAAGGCUUUAGGUGGCCACGGUAGAAGAAAAUUGCUUGCCAUUCCUCCUGAUGUAGACGGUUAUACAGGUAGACUGAUUCGCAGUGUUUCGGGUGCUGGGAAGACGACCAUGUACAUUGUUCCACUGCAGCAGGACCUUGAUCUUACUCCACUGCCAUCUGAUGCCACUGAAUUUCAAAAAAUGCUUAAGGCUGCAUGCCAAGUGUGCAAAGAAAACAUGCCUCUGCAUAUCCUAGCAUUGCACAUCGAGGGUUGUAUGGAGUCUGCAGCAGAUGAUGAUGAUGAUGAGGACUGGCAGAAUGAGGUCCAGGUUCUUUCUGUCACAAACUCACCACUUGCGCACCCUAACAAAGAGUCCAGAGAUUGUGGCCAGGAUAGAAAGGAAUGCCCUAUAUGUUGUGGCUGCUUUCCAUCAGAUGAAAUUGUUCUGCAUGCAAGCCUGUGUGGGGAAAGUCUACAGGGCAUGUUGAACUACAGUACAGACAGCUGUGUGCUACGCGAGGGAAGCGUAUCUAUGGCCGAUAUGUCUAGUGACGAUGAUGUCCUCCAGUGGCUUGCAAGCCAAGUAGAUGCAAGCAAAGAUUUUAAGAUCUGCAUCACCUGGGACAACCUCGUCCAAAGAGGCCUAAUUCAGUGGCAGAGACAGAAGAAGGGCUCCCUGUCAACAAACUCAAUGUGACUUUCAUUGGUGAAGCUGGAAUCGACACUGGAGCAUUAAGCAAAGAAUUUUUGACUGAAAUGAUGCAUGGCAUUGAGAGGCGAUUGUUUGAGGGCAGUGGCAAGAAGGGAAAGAGUCCUGUCUACUCUAUGUGACCUAGAAAAUGGUUUCUACAGAACUGCAGGAGAAGUGUUUUCUGUCAGCCUAGCUCAGGGUGGCCCAGCACCAUGCUUCUUCAGAAAUUGGUGUUACCAGUUUCUUGCAACAGGGGAUUUUGAUGCUCUGCAGCUGACCAAAGAUGAUGUGGAUGAUCUUGAAUAUGCUUUACUCAUAGAAAGGGUGGAGGCAGCAACUGAUCUGACACAGUUGACAGAUGAAAUCGUGAGUUGUGGUUACACUGGUUUGCUAAAGAUGGACCGAAAGGACAGUAUCAUAAGAGCCAUUGUUCUGCAUGCUACAAUGCGUCUGACUCCUAUGCUUCAGCAAAUUAGAAAUGGGAUGAAGAUCUACAACCUUCUGGAUGUGAUUGGGAAGCAUCAAACUCUCUGCUCAAACCUGUUUGUCCCCAAAGAGGACGAUGACAGAGUCAGAAUGAAGACCAGAAAAUGUGUGAGCCUCUGACCCAAGAGGAGCUGCUAAGUGAAGGGCACUGGAAUCAACAAAAACACGCAAGCCUGUCUGUCCCAAUAGUAAUGCAGUGGUUAACUGGACAAAGGCACAAGCCCCUUCUUCCAUCAGAGAGGGCAGAUUUUAAAAUAAAUCUAAGAUUUGAACACCACUGUAAUGAGAAAAUGCCUGGUCACCACAUUUGUUUCCCACUUGUAAGUGCCUGCACAAAUACAAUAACUAUUCCUGUCGAACAUAUGAAAACAUACACAGAGUUCAGAGAUAUAAUGACAGUAGCAAUCAGAAUGGGUAGAGACUUCGGUCGUGUGUAGAGGUCAUGUUUUGUGACCACUGAUGUUUACUUGAAAGUCAGCCAGUAUUGUGAAUUUUUUUUGGCAUUUUUGUUAAAUCUGUUCAGUGAGCUAUUUAUUGUUCUGAGAGAGUCUUAAUAAAAAAAAUACAGAUAGCAUAACCCUAACCAUAAAAACAGCUCAAUAUUACGGUUUGGUUCUUUACACUUGAUUCUCCCAUUGCAUUGUUUUUUUAGUUUGGGAUCACUGCUAACAAUUUAUUUGAAAAAAGGUCAUUUAAGAACUCUGUAUUUGCAUUUUGUUUACAGCGCACUGACAAAUGUACAUGUAAUAUAGAACCUUGAAAUGUGAUGCUGUUCCUCAUAUUACAAGGUUACUUGUACUGUUGAAAAGUUGAAAUUGUUCAGUCUUCCACAUAUGCAUUAGUUUCAACAUGUGUAAGGCAAAUUCAUGUCAUUCAAGUGAAAUCAACUUUGUGGGGGUUUGGAUUUUUUACUAAAUCGUCAGCAAAAAUUAACUUGACAACAAUAAAUAUGGAUAUA